AUUGAACGCUGGCGGCAGGCCUAACACAUGCAAGUCGAGCGGAUGAAGGGAGCUUGCUCCUGGAUUCAGCGGCGGACGGGUGAGUAAUGCCUAGGAAUCUGCCUGGUAGUGGUUUAUAACGUCCGGAAACGGGCGCUAAUACCGCAUACGUCCUGAGGGAGAAAGUGGGGGAUCUUCGGACCUCACGCUCUCAGAUGAGUCUAGGUCGGAUUAGCUAGUUGGUGGGGUAAAGGCCUACCAAGGCGACGAUCCGUAACUGGUCUGAGAGGAUGAUCAGUCACACUGGAACUGAGACACGGUCCAGACUCCUACGGGAGGCAGCAGUGGGGAAUAUUGGACAAUGGGCGAAAGCCUGAUCCAGCCAUGCCGCGUGUGUGAAGAAGGUCUUCGGAUUGUAAAGCACUUUAAGUUGGGAGGAAGGGCAGUAAGUUAAUACCUUGCUGUUUUGACGUUACCAACAGAAUAAGCACCGGCUAACUUCGUG
rnacentral:rRNA from 1 species